rnacentral:rRNA from 1 species
UUUCCUACGGGACGCAGCAGUAGGGAAUAUUGCACAAUGGGGGAAACCCUGAUGCAGCGACGCCGCGUGGGUGAAGAAGCGCCUCGGCGCGUAAAGCCCUGUCAGCAGGGAAGAAAAUGACGGUACCUGAAGAAGAAGCCCCGGCUAACUACGUGCCAGCAGCCGCGGUAAUACGUAGGGGCAAGCGUUAUCCGGAUUUACUGGGUGUAAAGGGGGCGCAGACGGCGAUGCAAGCCAGGAGUGAAAGCCCGGGUCCCAACCCCGGGACUGCUCUUGGAACUGCGCGGCUAGAGUGCAGGAGGGGG